CAAUAGGCAGGAGCCUAAAAAGAAAUCCACAAGGCUGGCCCCGGUCCUUGCAUGUUCUCACAUGGCAGAUGUCACUUUACUGGGAGUUCUCUCCAUGCUGAACAUUCAGACAACUGUCACCUUGAUUGUGCCCAAGGCAGCGUACAAGAUGUUGUUGAACUACAACCCCCAUAAUCCCUGACCAUUGGCCAUGCUGGUUGGACCUGAUGGGAAUAGGAGCCUGUGAUGUUCCUAUAUUAAUGUAUAUAUGAUGCUCUCAUAAUAGAGGAUUCAUAGAAGCACAGAGAGGAUGUGUGGGGUGCAGUACCCAUGGUGGAAAAGUUUGCAUUCACAUGAAGAGCUGAAAAAGUGAUGUGCUCUGCCUUAGAUUUUUAUGCACCAUGGUAGUUUUAUAUAAUAUAUCAACUGGUACCAGUACAUACAAAAAUAUGUUUAGUAGGAGAAAUUCACACCAAGAUGCUGAUUCUAAAAAAAAUCACAAAUUGCCGGAAUAAUGAGAAACAAAGAACCGAAAUUGACAGAUCUUUCUAUACCUAUCUGGGAGAUCUUCUCAUGUAGCGUUACACACUAGGGAGGGGGUAUUUGGGAGGUUAUUACAUUAUGCUUUUUGUCUCUUUUUGAAACAAAUUUGAAAUAAAUAAAAUGUAAUAAAAAUA